rnacentral:rRNA from 1 species
UUGAUCCUGGCUCAGGAUGAACGCUGGCGGCGCGCCUAACACAUGCAAGUCGAACGGCACCCACCUUCGGGUGGAAGCGAGUGGCGAACGGCUGAGUAACACGUGGAGAACCUGCCCCCUCCCCCGGGAUAGCCGCCCGAAAGGACGGGUAAUACCGGAUACCCCGGGGUGCCGCAUGGCACCCCGGCUAAAGCCCCGACGGGAGGGGAUGGCUCCGCGGCCCAUCAGGUAGACGGCGGGGUGACGGCCCACCGUGCCGACAACGGGUAGCCGGGUUGAGAGACCGACCGGCCAGAUUGGGACUGAGACACGGCCCAGACUCCUACGGGAGGCAGCAGUGGGGAAUCUUGCGCAAUGGGGGGAACCCUGACGCAGCGACGCCGCGUGCGGGACGGAGGCCUUCGGGUCGUAAACCGCUUUCAGCAGGGAAGAGUCAAGACUGUACCUGUAGAAGAAGCCCCGGCUAACUACGUGCCAGCAGCCGCGGUAAUACGUAGGGGGCGAGCGUUAUCCGGAUUCAUUGGGCGUAAAGCGCGCGUAGGCGGCCCGGCAGGCCGGGGGUCGAAGCGGGGGGCUCAACCCCCCGAAGCCCCCGGAACCUCCGCGGCUUGGGUCCGGUAGGGGAGGGUGGAACACCCGGUGUAGCGGUGGAAUGCGCAGAUAUCGGGUGGAACACCGGUGGCGAAGGCGGCCCUCUGGGCCGAGACCGACGCUGAGGCGCGAAAGCUGGGGGAGCGAACAGGAUUAGAUACCCUGGUAGUCCCAGCCGUAAACGAUGGACGCUAGGUGUGGGGGGACGAUCCCCCCGUGCCGCAGCCAACGCAUUAAGCGUCCCGCCUGGGGAGUACGGCCGCAAGGCUAAAACUCAAAUGAAUUGACGG